CCUACGGGUGGCAGCAGUGGGGAAUAUUGGACAAUGGGGGAAACCCUGAUCCAGCGACGCCGCGUGUGUGAAGAAGUAUUUCGGUACGUAAAGCUCUAUCAGCAGGAAAGAAAAUGACGGUACCUGACUAAGAAGCCACGGCUAACUACGUGCCAGUAGCCGCGGUAAUACGGAGGGGGCAAGCGUUAUGCGGAUUUACUGGGUGUAAAGGGAUCGUAGACGGUAGCGCAAGUCUGGAGUGAAAUGCCGGGGCCCAACCCCGGAACUGCUCUGGAUACUGGGAAGCUGGAGUGCAGGAGAGGGAAGUGGAAUUCCUGGUGUAGCGGUGAAAUGCGUAGAGAUCAGGAGGAACACCGGCGGCGAAGGCGGCUUACUGGACUGUAACUGACGUUGAGGUUCGAAGGCGUGGGGAGCAAACAGGAUUAGAUACCCUUGUAGUC
rnacentral:rRNA from 1 species